rnacentral:sRNA from 1 species
UAUUAGGGUUACAAUGAUUUUAUACUUUUAAGAAAUCUUAGAACCUAUCACUUACAAAUGAGUAAAUGACCAUUACUCCUCGAGAAUCUAAGGCGCUUAAGGAAGCAUUGCGAAUCGGGUGUGAAAAAGAUCUAUUUUUGAAUUAUUUCACACAAUUUCUUAAUGUCAAUUUUCGAUGCUCCCAUAUUCUCCACGGUUUAAAGCAAGAUUGGUGGGAAAGGGAUAUUCUCGCAUCGAUUACAAUGAAAUAUGGGUUGAAAAAAA